rnacentral:rRNA from 1 species
UCCUGACUGACCGAUAGUGAACCAGUACCGUGAGGGAAAGGCGAAAAGAACCCCGGCGAGGGGAGUGAAAAAGAACCUGAAACCGUGUACGUACAAGCAGUGGGAGCACGCUUAGGCGUGUGACUGCGUACCUUUUGUAUAAUGGGUCAGCGACUUAUAUUCUGUAGCAAGGUUAACCGAAUAGGGGAGCCGAAGGGAAACCGAGUCUUAACUGGGCGUUAAGUUGCAGGGUAUAGACCCGAAACCCGGUGAUCUAGCCAUGGGCAGGUUGAAGGUUGGGUAACACUAACUGGAGGACCGAACCGACUAAUGUUGAAAAAUUAGCGGAUGACUUGUGGCUGGGGGUGAAAGGCCAAUCAAACCGGGAGAUAGCUGGUUCUCCCCGAAAGCUAUUUAGGUAGCGCCUCGUGAAUUCAUCUCCGGGGGUAGAGCACUGUUUCGGCAAGGGGGUCAUCCCGACUUACCAACCCGAUGCAAACUGCGAAUACCGGAGAAUGUUAUCACGGGAGACACACGGCGGGUGCUAACGUCCGUCGUGAAGAGGGAAACAACCCAGACCGCCAGCUAAGGUCCCAAAGUCAUGGUUAAGUGGGAAACGAUGUGGGAAGGCCCAGACAGCCAGGAUGUUGGCUUAGAAGCAGCCAUCAUUUAAAGAAAGCGUAAUAGCUCACUGGUCG